ACACUUUUAACUUAAUGGUCAAAGUUUCAAUCUUCGAAAUUGAUGAUAUAGGUUCGAAUCCUAUAAAGUGUA
rnacentral:tRNA from 1 species